rnacentral:rRNA from 1 species
GAAGCUGGAUUCGUUAGUAAUCGCGCAUCAGCCACGGCGCGGUGAAUACGUUCCCGGGCCUUGUACACACCGCCCCGUCAAGCCAUGGGGAGCCGGGGGGUACCUGAAGUGCGUAACCGCGAGGAUCGCCCUAGGGUAAAACUGGUGACUGGGGCUAAGUCGUAACAAGGUACC